CAAACAAUAUUUUACGCAAACUCGGUGGUCAAUUUUAUUCACGCAAAAUUUGUCUACAUAUACGGUGAAGAACAUUUCGAAAUAUAAGCAUGUUAAAUAGAAGGUCCAGUCUACAACAGAGUAAAAGAGGCGACAAAUUGCAUAAUGGGAAACAAAACUCGUAUCAUAAUUGAACUUCUAUAGCGUUCUAGCGACAAAUCAAAUGAUUGUUAUCAGCGCAAAUGCAAAUAAAACUUACGAAUAAAUAAUUUUUCGUGAACUAUUAAUUAAUUAACAUUAUAGUUUCGCUUGAUUGAUGAUACAUUUUUACAACCCGUAGAAACGCCAUUUCGCGCAAAAUAUCAGUAAAAGGCGCGAAAUUUGUUCGCGUCCAAGUUGUAUACAAUAUUUUUUCUGCAUCUCUAUUGAAAUAGUAUAUUAUGCAACGAGUGAGGUAAACGGUAUUCGACCCGACACGUAUUUGACACGAGCGGAGCGAGUGCUUAAUAAACGAGUGUCUUAAAAAGUUUAAAUAUUUUAAACACAGGAACAUAGCAACACAGUCGCAAUAAAACAUGGUCGAUUUAAAUAAUAAAAUAAGUCACCCCCCAACCCAAGUGGUUGGAUAUUUAAAAAAAAGGAUAUAUUGUUUUAAAUUUUAAUGGAAGCAAUCUGUUCUUACAAAUGGAUGGUCUCUGCGCCACUGGUCGCUAUUCCAUGAAAGGUGCAAAAAAAUAUGAAUUUAUUUCUAUUGAUAGUGCUGCUAACAGUAAACAAACGUGGCCUGUUGGAAGUAUUUCAUAAUGUUCACCUUUCUGCCUUUGAACAUUUGGCAAGCGCAUUCUAGCUGCAUAUAUGUUGACAGUUUUGUGAACAGAGAAAGUAUUAUUAAACGCAAACGCCAUGCUUGCAUUGUCCAUUGAAACUAGCAAAAUAUAAACACUCCAUUAAAUAUUGUGGAGAGCCAUGUAUGCAUAUAUCACAAUCAAAUAAAGUUUAUCAUAAACUUUUCUUGAGUGACAUGCAUCCUGUUGACGCAAUUUGUGUUGUAUUUGGAUUUGAAACAGGUAAGCUUUGGACGAUGAAUCCAUAGAGGUACUGAAUUGCGAACGAUACCAAACGAACUAUGUUUGAAAGCAAUAUAAAUAUUUAAGUAUU